AAGGCCCACCCCAAGCUUGACCCAGGGGAAGAGGGCACAGAAGAAGCUGCCCAGCAUUCUCUCCAGACCUCCACUGUAAAGUGAGAGUGCCGAAAGGACUGGCGGCUUGGCCUGUGGGCUGCUGCAGCUCGUGAGGGUGAAGUCUUAGGCCAGGUUCAGGGAUCCGUUUGUCCUGAGAGCAUUCCUGUCUAACUGGCCCUUUAGGGACUUAGCAGUCAUGGUGCCUGGAAAGAGUCUCAGAGAUCUCGCCAUCUUUCGUCUUUAUUGAUAGAGCCUGGCCCUAGAACCAUCUUUUGGGUCACCUAAGGACCCGCAUUCCUAGCACAGUGACUGGCACCUACUAGGCACUAAAUCCACACGAACUGUUAUCAUCAUUAAAAGUCAGAUCAGUUCCUAAAAUAGGGUUAACCAUUCUCAAACACUUUGAAUCUGGAUGACCUGAAAGUAUUUGGGGUUGCGUGAAUCACCACAGAGGAACUGUACAGAAACUGAUUUUGUUAUUCUUAUUCCUGACAGAUAGCUAAGCACAGAGUGACUUCCUGAAAAACCCCAUAGAGUGUUAGCAAAGGCCUUGGGAAAAGAAUUAGGAGCCCUGCUUCGUCCCUUGCUAUGUUAGGCAGCAAAGCCUGCUUUCCUGCGCCAGGAACAGCAACCCGACAAUGCUCCCGCUGCCAGACCCUGGCUUCCCUGCCGAGUCAGGCAGGGUUGGAAAGGCAGACGUCAGCCAAGUGAGGCUCCAUUUGAGUCAUAUCCUGGUAAAUGUGUGUCAGAAGCAGGUGAAAGAUGUUAAACUUUAUACAAACUGCACAGGAGAUGAAAGGUGAGGAGCACAGCAUCCUGAGCUUCACUUUGUGCCCAAACCCGCUUUCCGUUAUGCAGAGAGAGACACACUGGCUACUUACAGAGCAGAAUGCAGAGCAGUCCCCGUGGCUGGCAAUGAGGAUGCAGCAGGGCAGCCUGGGUGCUGACAUUGGGGUCCGACUUCACCAGUCGCGGGACUCUGAGGCUCAAAAGAGGCAAUAACGGAACAACAACGUGAAUGUACUUAAUACUACUGAACUGGACACUUAAAAAUAGUUAAGAUGGUAAAUUUUAUAUUAUGCGUAUUUUAGUGUAAUUAACAAAAACCAAGCUGACAACAUGGACAGCAAAGUACUAAACAACAGCAACAACCGAGGCAAUCAUUGGCCCCCAGUCCUAAUAUGCAAGCAGUGUAACGGGGAAUGAAAGUGCUCCCUCCAUCUCCGGCCAAGCUGGAGGAUCCAGGGGGCCAUGGUGUGUGCACGCCCUCUGUGAAGGCCAUUCCAAUGUCCACUUUAAUUAUGAUGGUCCCAUCUGGGCCUCUGACCACCUGUCUCACCCAGCAUUGUCCUUGGGACCUAAGGGGAAGCGUAUCCUCACCAAAAGACAGCCUUCUCCAUGGUUGAAAUUUUCCUCCAGGGGCUCUGCCUGGGUCCUCGUCAGCACGCGCUCACUCUCAGACACUUACUGCAUCUGGCUCCCUGCACCCCCAGAGCUUGGGCAAAUGUCUGUGCCUUCCUGUUCCUCAGCUGAUAUUUUCAAAGGAAUAUCACCAAGACCUAACAGAAAUAAAUGAGGAAAAAAUGACCAAAAAUACAAAUUGCAUAAGUAGAAAAGUAGCUUUACUUUAUUGAACACAAUCUAUAUAUUAGUCAUCAGGCUGAGUGCUUGACAGGUGUCAUUUUUAAUCCUGACAAUACUCUGGAAGGAAAUUAUUACUGUGCUUUUUCAAAACCAAAGGAACUGCUGCUCAGAGAUCUUAGGCACACAGUGAGGCCAAACCAAGACUCCAGCCCUGUUGACUGGCUGCGAAGUCUGUAUUUCCUUUUCCCUCUAUACUGCUCCUGGAUUCCCAUCAAGGGCCAUUCACAGAAACAGCAGAGAGCUUUAACAGAUGCCCACGUGUCCCAUGGUCACCACGCUCUACCCUGGUGGCAGGUCCAGGUUUAGGCCUUUCCUGCCUCUCUUGGCUCCUGCCUCCUUCUCAGUAAGCUCAUGGGGCAGGGGCUUCAUUUUCUUGGUCAGCAUCGUACCUCUGUUGCCAAGAGCAAAGCUUGACGUCCAGCAGGUGCUCAUAAAUAUUUACUGAAUAGAAGAGUGAAUGACUGAUCUCUUAGUGACAUCACAUUCUGCCCAGCACCCAAGGGCCGGUCUGUCAGUCCAUCUUGUCCUGCUAUCCAAGGACAGAUGUCAACUUUCUUUUCUUUUCUUUUCUUUUUUUUAAAGAUUGGCACCUGAGCUAACGAUGGUUGCCAAUCUUCUUCUUUUUUUUCCCCCCCUGCUUUUUCUCCCCCAACCCCCCCAGUACAUAGUUGUAUACUUUUAGUUGUGGGUUCAACUUUCAUUUGUAACUCAUUAUUCAGAUACCAGAGUCCUCAUUCUUAAUAUUAGUUUCUAACUCUAUUAGCUCUCAGUUAACUUACUGAGUUCUAUCAAAUGAGUAAGUCCUUUCAUAGCCUUAAAUUUCUCUCCCUCAUAAAAACUCCACUCGUUACAGCAGACCAAUUUUGUCACAAUAUCCUACAAUAGCUAUCCCAUAUGCACCCUAAAACUUAGCACCACUCUGUACCAGGGGACAGCCUUUCACAGAUGGGUUUGGAAUGUCCCACUUGGCUGAUGAAAUUGACCCCUCCUCCCUCCUUCCCGGAUCCUCCACCAGCACUGCGUUUCCUAACCUUCUUUCAAAGAACACAGCCCUUCCAGAAAGCCCUAAAGCUGUGUAAGUUUUGGCUGGACCCCAUUCAAGAUCAGUAUUUUACACUUAAUCUGCUUCUAGAUGGAGCAAUCAGGAUCAAGAGGAUUUAUGAGGAGUGUUUUCCUGCAGCCUGAACUUUCUCUCAUGUUUUAUCAUUUAUUUACAGUCUAGUGUCUUCAGUGAACUUCAGCCCCAUCCUGUGGCCUCCAGUUGUGUGAUACUAUCAGAUGGCCCCUUGCUGCUGGAGUGGAUGUUCUUGGCAAUGAAAAGAAGAAGUGGGGGCAAAGAUGAAGUAUGGGGCCUAGAUGCUUCUAGCAGUUUAGAUGGUGACUUCUCAGGAACUUGUUGUUAACUACUCUGCACCCCCUGCAUUGAUUAGAUUCUGGUUCUCUGGGGCCAGUUUCUUCCUGCUCUCUGGAGCCCCAGCUUCGCACCUGGCUGACUCACCUUUUGCACUGAGUUCAGCACUGGAGAUGGAGAGGGGUUGGGGAGGAGAGGAGAAAUUUUAGUGCUGUAUGAAUUCAGUUGGAAAAAUAAUCAUACAGGAUUUAAGCAAAUCUCAUAUUGCCCCUGGAAUGGUUUUAGGUUUUUUUAUAAAACCCAACCAGCGUCAGCUGAUGCCCCAUCUCUUCAAGGUCAAACAUUCCAAGAUUCUAGAGGGAGCAAAGCUGUGUUCCCAGAUUUGUCUAGAAGCCCUUUCUCCCCCCUCACCUUAACUGACGCCUGGAUGGUCCCCAUGAGGGAUUUCUUUUGCAGCCUCUCCCAAGCCUCCCAUUUGGAGAGUGGGGCUGCCCAGUUCCUUCUCUCCUGGUGUCACUUUGAGAUUACUGCUCAGAGGAACUCAUUCUUUUCUCAAGAGACUGUUUUCUUUUAAAGUUCACAAUGUUCAUUUUUUUCUUUGUGUGCUGCAAGGAGAACUCUGAUUCUGACUGAAAUUCUGCCAAUUAGAAAGAUUGUUUUCCAAUCGUCCUGAAAUUUUUCAGAGUUGCUCAAAGUGUUGGGAAAAUUGGAUACCAGAAUUUUUAGAUCCCUGGCCGACCAAGAGGCAUGGGCAGAAGGUGACCUGGUCUUCAGAGCUCUCACAAGAUCUCUGAGAGAGACCGGUAUGACAGUCCUUGGGGACUUUCCCCCUUUAUAAAUGCUGUGUUCAUUUUUUAAUAAGAUAUUUGACAUAUAUAAAAAUAAAAUAUAAUGUAUGUAAGGUGAAAAAAAUACUCCUGGACCACUCGCCCAACUUGAGAAAUAGAAUGUUGCCGGAAUGAUAAAGCAGCCGCGGGCGCUUGCUGCUGGUUGUCCCCUCACCACGAGGGACAUGUGUGUCUGUUGUUCCCUUGCCUGUCAUUGCAGUUUGAAAGCGUGUUUAGUAAAAUGAAUAUAUUUGAUAAUUUUGUGUGCAUUUGAACUUUAUGUGAAUAGUAUCACACAGGGUAAUUUUUUGUGCCUUCUGUUUUUCAGGUUCAUCUGAAUUGAUGCCGUUAGCCAUAGUUAAUUCAUUUUUGCUGCUGAAUAGUAUUCCGUUAUAUGACUAUGCCACACUUUUUUUACCGUCCCCUGCCUGUGUACAUUUGGCUAUUUCCCAUUAUGCUAUUGAUAGUAAUGCUGCUGUAAAUAUUCUUGGCCAUGUUUCCUGGGCACGUGGACGAGAUUUUCUCCUGGGUCACAGUAUUUCCUUUUACCAUUUUCUCUAUAUUCUCAUCUUCUCUGCUAGGAUUCUCUCCUUCUUCAGUGAUGUCAUUUCUGGUUAUUGUCCUCAGAGACUCUGCUGCACACACCGAUGGUAUAAACGUAAACAAGCCACAGUGCCUUUCCUUGGUCCGCUCCAGGGUGGCGGAAUAACUGAUCACAGCAGUCACGUUGUGACCCACUUGAAACCCCGACGCUGGAUUCUUGGAGGUCAGCUCGCCUGUCGUGCCGUCUUCCCCUCUCUCCUGGUCACCACGGCUCCUCCCUGCCUAAAGUCUCUAUCUUUACUUAUUCUUUUCACAGCACCCCCGCUUUUGGGUCCCAGGCAUUCUCCGCAUUCCAAGUCAGAUCUUUUCCCCGUCCUCAUGAUUCUAUCCCAUGGCCAAGUCCCUCAAUCUCCCCUUCACAUAUUUUCAUUUUCAGUCCAUAGUUUUUCUCUAAGCCCACCAAACUUGGUGGGGGUUCCCCAUGCCCCUCAAAUCCCCAACAUCUUUGAUUUUUUCUCUUAGACGACUAUCUCGCCUCUGCCUUUCCCUGAAGAACUUUGCUGCUUUUACCAACGUCUCUCAUCAUUUGACUUCUGCCCCAGCCUCUGUGGAAGAUGCCCUCUCAGAGCUCACCAGUGACCUCCCAAGGAUCAAGGCUGAAGGCUGUGUCAUUGUCCUUCCUCACCUGGCUGCACCCCUGCCCUCUGAAACUCCUUCUUUGCGUGUGGCACAUACUAGACACUCAGCAAUAUUUGCUGAAUGAAGUGGAAGAAGGCAAAGCUGGGAAACGGCAGAGGCAGGACUCGAAGUCAGGACUUCUUACUCCUAUUCCCGUGUGCUCUCACUGACCUUCCCCCAAAGCCGCAAGCACAUUGAGUCAGUUGUGCAGGUUGUCAUCUACUGUCUCGUGGCCGUGGACUGACCCUGAGAGUGAGAUUUAUUGCCUGGUAUUAGAAAAGCUUUAGAUUCCAGCUCCUCUCAAAGGAGUUGUGCAAAGAAGGGACUAAAGGACGUCAGAAAACAGUGGGCAUGUGGAAGACUCUGAGGCUGAAGGCAGGAAUCUUCCAAGACCCCAUCAAAAGCAAAAUGAAAACUCUUUUUAAAAGCUCAGUAAAAAGAGAAAGACACUUAAAAAAUUGAUAUUAACGUGAUCCCCAGGCUGUGUUUAUUGAAACAAUCUUAGGUCCAUAAUCAAAACAAUGUUUUAUCAUUUCCCCUCCAGGCUGGUCACAAGCUACAAACUGGAUCAUUUGACACAUCUCUUGUGCACUUGAAACUCAAAUUGAAACUCUGCCAUUUUAACUGUACAAAGAAAAAUAACUUUUCAAAGCCCCACAUAUAUAUUUUUCUGAUUCAUCCUUUUGAUAUUUUACUUGGACCAAAACCCAAAUUCACUUGGUUUUCUCCAAGCACAUAUUUGGGCUACUUCCAUCAUUGUUCUUGGAAAUGGUUUUUCCUUUUGACAUACUGUAUGUUCAGUAUACAACCUGGUCAACACCGUCACAGGCCACGGCACUGACUCCCUCGUGGGCUGUCAGGAGCAUCUCAAAAAGAUUAUGUCUCCACUUAGGCUCAUCAGCUGCUUGUUUUGCAAUGUUCAGGAAAACACGUGUGUGUGUGUUUAUGUGUUUAUGUCAGCGUGAGUUUUGUGUCUGCUGGGGGAAAUGCUGGGUUAGCAUGUUUUUCAGAGUUUGGAGAAUUUCUGUGGCUUAUUUGCUGAUAUGAAUAAAAGUCA
rnacentral:lncRNA from 1 species